AUUGAACGCUGGCGGCAUGCUUUACACAUGCAAGUCGAGCGGCAGCGCGGGGGCAACCCUGGCGGCGAGCGGCGAACGGGUGAGUAAUGCAUCGGAACGUAUCCUCGAGUGGGGGAUAACCCAGCGAAAGUUGGGCUAAUACCGCAUGAGCUCUGAGGAGGAAAGCGGGGGACCUGCGAGGGCCUCGCGCUGGAGGCGCGGCCGAUGUCCGAUUAGCUAGUUGGUGGGGUAAAGGCUUACCAAGGCGACGAUCGGUAGCUGGUCUGAGAGGAUGAUCAGCCACACUGGGACUGAGACACGGCCCAGACUCCUACGGGAGGCAGCAGUGGGGAAUUUUGGACAAUGGGGGCAACCCUGAUCCAGCCAUGCCGCGUGAGUGAAGAAGGCCUUCGGGUUGUAAAGCUCUUUCGGACGGAACGAAAUGGGCGGGACUAAUACUCCUGUCUGAUGACGGUACCGUAAGAAGAAGCACCGGCUAACUACGUG
rnacentral:rRNA from 1 species